AGGGCUUUUCUUAAAACCUUGGUCCCUUUGCAGUAUUCUAACCUGUGCUGCAUCAUCCCAUCUCCCAACAGUACCAUACAUAUUGGAUAAAAGAACAAAAUUUCCCGUACUUUCAUGUCCUAGCUUCUGAAUUUUCUUUGAUACUUGUUCCCCAAGUUCAACAUUUCUAUGGACCCUACAAGCAGCAAGCAAGGCACUCCAAAUACGAACAUCAGGCUCAAAUGGCAUCUUUUCAAUGAAAUUGCAUACCUCUUCAAAUUUCCCUGCCCGGCUCAAAAGAUCAGCCAUGCAUACAUGAUGCUCCAUUCUGGGAGUGAUGCCAAAAUCUUGAUUCAUGGCAUUAAACCAGUGUUUACCUUCUGUGACGAGGCCAGAAUGGCUGCAAGCAGAUAAGAUACAAAUGAAAGUCACAUCAUCUGGCUCUAUACCUUCUGCCAGCAUGUUAUCGAACAGCAAUAAUGCUUCCAUGCCAAGCCCAUGAAUUCCAUAAGCAAUUAUCAUUGCAUUCCAUGAUACAAUAUCCCUCUUAUGCAUCCUAUCAAAAACUCUCCUGGCAGUGUCAAUCCUUCCACACUUUGCAUACAUGUCAAUAAGAGCAUUACAAAUUGCAGUUUCAGUUGCAAGGCCAUGAACAAUUGCAUAACAAUGACUGCAAGAACCAUGUUGUAUAGCAGCCAAAUGAGCAGAAGCUGGCAGGACACCUACCAUGGUUGCCAUUUCUGGAUCCAAUCCUGACAAUUGCAUCUUAUGGAACAAACGUAAAGCCUCUUCUGCAUGACCAUUCUGCACGCAUCCUGAAAUAAUAGCACUAUAUGAAACUGUAUCUUUCAAAUCCAUUUCAUAAAAGAAUUUUUUUGCAUCAUUGACAAUCCCACACUUUGCAUAUGCCGAAAGUAGAGUAUUUCCCAACAUUAAAUCUGAAACAAAACCCGAUUUAACAGUGUAACAAUGUAUGCAUCUGCCCAUAUUUGAGUCUGCUAACUUUGCACAAGCUCGAAGAACAGUAGCAAGAGUUACGGAUGUUGGAGACAAAGCAAAGUCUUUGCGCCUCAUCAUUUCCCGAAAAAGUUCCAACGCCUCCCUCAUAAAAUCACAAAUAACGUAAGCACCAAGCAUAGCACUCCAGGUCACCUCAUUCUUGUCAAUACCCACCCUGUCAAAAAUUUUCCUGGCAUAACCUAUGUACAGACAUUUCCCAUACAUAUCCAAAAUCCCGGUUGCAACUAUGACAUCAUCAAUGUAACCCCUCCUCACACAAAAACCAUGCAUCGCCUUGCCAUGGCUCAAAGCAUUAGCCUGAGCAAUUGCUGGAAGAAUGGCCACAAUUGUUGAAGAGUUGGGGCUUAUGAAAUCCUUUUGCAUUCGGACAAGCAAUUGCAUAGUCUCAUCAUAACACACCCCAUGCAGAGAAAACCCGGCAAUCAUAGAAUUCCAUGCAACAACAUCUCUGCGAGGCAUGUCACUAAAUACCGUCUCUGCAUCAUCCAAACACCCGCAUUUCGCAUACAUAUCAACCAAAGCCGUGGAAACAUAAACAUCAGAAUCAAGCCGGAGCCUUUUGGCAUGAACAUGAAUGUCCUUGCCUGGUUCAAUUGCUUGAAGAGCCGAACAUGCUUUAAGCACAAUUGGGAAAGUAAAUUUGGAGGGCUGGAUACCCAAUUCCAGCAUUUUGUAGUAAAAAUUAAUGGCUUCACCGUAGGGUCCAUUCCAAGCAUAUGUCCUUAUUAACAGAUUCCAAAUGAGAACCUUUUUUGGCUUUUGGGGACUUCUAUCAAACAAUCGGCG
rnacentral:misc_RNA from 1 species